AGACUGGAGAAACCUAUCUUAAUGGCUACAAUGACGUCAAAUUUCGUUUCUCUUCUUCUUUCUUUAUUUAUUGUGCUCUUGUUUGUCUCAUCUCAAGUUGAGGUCACCGACGCCAAACUUCUGCAACGGAACAAAUUGCGCUUGGAUUACGUUCCUCUUCCACCACCUCCACCUCCCCCUCACUUCUUCCCAAAACCCCCCACCUUCAAGCCACCCUCUAAAUCGGAAAGAGGAAAAGGCCCAUAAGCAAAACUCAUCUCCGGGAGUGACGGAUAUGAGGUCAACGAAAGUGAGUAAGAAGAACUGUACUCAUGAUUAUUAUCAAAUGAUAAACAUUGGUGAAGAGAGUCUUAAAGUAGCUUAUAGACUUUGCAGAUACUGUCUUGAGUUUAAUUUAAAUAAUGUCUAAGUAUUUGGCUACAAAUAAACCUAUGUAUAAAAUAAAUCUUUGUCAAA